UACAGAGGUCCCGAGCGUUGUUCGGAUUCAUUGGGCGUAAAGGGUGCGUAGGCGGCGGGGAAAGUCUGAUGUGAAAUCCUGGGGCUCAACCCUGGAACUGCAUUGGACUACUUCCUUGCUAGAGGUACUGGAGAGGAAACUGGAAGUUACGGUGUAGCAGUGAAAUGCGUAGAGAUCGUAAGGAAGACCAGUGGCGAAGGCGGAGUUCUG
rnacentral:rRNA from 1 species